AUAAACCAGAUGAGGCGAACGGGCACUCCCUGGGGUCUGUUGGGCAGAGCAGCUCAGGUCUGUCAAAGCUCCUGGUGAGGUGAGAACGAGGAGAAUGCUGCUUCUCAUCUGUGGUGGCUGGCACAGUCUUGGGUAAGGGCAAGGCCAACUUUCCUUCCCAAGAGGGUGUUCUCUGUCUUUGCAUUUCCUUAUCCUCAGGGCACAGCCUUCCUGACAGACACUCCUUAAGCUGAAUCCCUGAGCCAAAUCUCGAGCUAUCUUCUGGCAUCCUGGAAAUCCUGCACUGAUUCCGAGGAAGCAGCAAAGAAAGAACCAUGAAGCAUGCCAGCUUCAUGUGAACUGAUCACCAUGAAUGGGCAGGACAAUGGAACUUACGAAUCUCAUUUCUACAGGGUGAGGCGAGUAGGAAACGAUCGCUCUUUUUCGGCCAAGUGCCCCCAUGGAACGCCUGGGGGAUGGCAUUUUAAGUAUUUAGAAGAAGAAAAGUGGCAGAAGCUAUUUGGUCUGGAUGCAUAUUUCAGCCAACAAAAUACCGUGUCACAUAAGCUCUCUGAUGGUUUCUCGCCUGGCAAGACAUUUUCUUAAAAUGAGCAAACAAAGAGUAUCCAACUGACAGGGUUUUGCCAUCUUGGAAAGGCUGGUCUCGAACUGCUGAACUCAAGUGAUCCACCCUUCUCGGCCUCCCAAAGUGCUGGGAUUGCAGGCAUGAGCUACCGCGCCCGAGCUGGUAUUUUAUUUUCCCUUAACAAAACUGGAAGACAUGAUUGAAGACAGAGUCUCAGUCUUGUCGCCCAGGCUGGAGUGCAGUGGUGCGAUCUCAGCUUACUGCAACCUCUGCCUCCCAGGUUCAAGCGAUUCUCCUGCCUCAGCCUCCUGAGUAGCUGGGAUUACAGGUACCCGCCAUCACGCCCAACUAAUUUUUUGUAUUUUCAGUAGAGACAGGGUUUCACCAUGUUGGCCAGGCUGGUCUUGAACUCUUGACCUCAAGUGAUCAGCCCGCCUCAGCCUCCCAAAGUGCUGGGAUCAUAGGUGUGAGCCACCAUGCCCAGCCUGUUUUUAAUUCUUUUGGGUAUAUUCCUAGGAGAACUGUGGCUCAUAUGUUAUUCCUUUUCUUUUUUUUUUUUUUCCCGAGAUGGAGUGUCGCUCUUGUUGCCCGGGCUGGAGUGCAGUGGCACGAACUCAGCUCACUGCAACCUCUACCUCCCGGGUUCAAGCUUCUCCUGCCUCCGCUUCCUGAGUAGCUGGGAUUACAGGCGCCCGCCACCUUUCCCAGCUAAUUUUUGUGCUUUUAGUAGAGACGGAGUUUCGCCAUGUUGGCUAGGCUGGUCUCAAACUCCUGACCUCAGGUGAUCUGCCCGCCUCGGCCUCCCAAAGUGCUGGGAUAACAGGAGGGAGCCACCACACCUGGCCUGUUAUACCUAUGUUUAACUUACUGAGGAACAGCCAAAAUGCUUUCCACAGUGGCUGUACCAUUUUACAUUCUCACCAGCAAUGAACAAGGGUUCCAGUUUAUCCGCGUCCUGGCCAACAUUUGUUUUCCUUUUGUUUGAACAGCCGUCUUUCAUGUGUGUGAAGCGGUGUCUCACUAUGGUUUUGAACUGCACUUCCCCCACUACUAAUGAGGUGGAGGCAUCUUUCCGUGUGUUUGCUCCCACUAGGCAUCUGUGUUUGGGAAUCAAGAGUGGGCCCCACCACUCUCACCUUUGCUCCUGACCAUCACAGCACACUGCCCAGGCUGGAGGUGGCUCAUUUUUAUUCUCUCUUAAGGAACAGUGCCUUAGAGCACCAGCCAUCAAUAUUUUUACUGGCCCCAAGCCCCAUGAUUUCAUAUGCAUGGGUUUCACAUGCAAGGUGCCAGCCUCUGAGCAGCAUCUGUGCAAGAGCUGCAACUCCAUCCUUCUGUCUUCUUCAAAAAGUGUAUCAGAGAGGGAAUAAUCAUGUUUUCCAGGUGAAACUGAAUGGCUUUUGUCUGUUUAAGUAAAUCACUCACAAAUUUGGGUACUCUAUUGUUAAUUAACAAAUAAUUAAUCAGCCCCUCCUUGGGGCUCCCCUGCCACCUCCUUUUAGAAGUGCUGCAAAGCAUAACAGCUGGUCAAGUGCACAUCCCCAUGACUGCAGGGAGGGGCUGCCAGGCAUACUCAUCUCAAGGUCAACCAUGAAGUUCACCUUCAAAGCAAUCGGCA